AACGAACGCUGGCGGCGUGCCUAACACAUGCAAGUCGAGCGGGAAAGUUCCCUUCGGGGAGCGAGUACAGCGGCGAACGGGUGAGUAACACGUAGGCAACCUACCCCGGAGACCGGGAUAACCUGUCGAAAGGCGGGCUAAUACCGGAUAAGACCACGAGGGCCUCGGCCCUUGAGGUAAAAGGUGGCCUCUGCUUGCAAGCUAUCACUCCAGGAUGGGCCUGCGCGCCAUUAGCUAGUUGGUGAGGUAACGGCUCACCAAGGCGAAGAUGGCUAGCUGGUCUGAGAGGAUGGCCAGCCACACUGGGACUGAGAUACGGCCCAGACUCCUACGGAGGCAGCAGUGGGAAUCUUGCGCAAUGGGCGAAAGCCUGACGCAGCGACGCCGCGUGAGGGAUGACGG
rnacentral:rRNA from 1 species